rnacentral:rRNA from 1 species
UACGGAGGGUGCAAGCGUUAUCCGGAUUCACUGGGUUUAAAGGGUGCGUAGGUGGGUUGGUAAGUCAGUGGUGAAAUCCCCGAGCUUAACUUGGGAACUGCCAUUGAUACUAUCAGUCUUGAAUACUGUGGAGGUCAGCAGAAUAUGUCAUGUAGCGGUGAAAUGCUUAGAUAUGACAUAGAAUACCAAUUGCGAAGGCAGCUGGCUACACAAAUAUUGACACUGAGGCAUGAAAGCGUGGGGAUCAAACAGG